GAGGAUAUAGCUCAGUGGUAGAGUGCAUGCUUAGCAUGCACAAGGUGCUGGGUUCAAUCCCCAGUACUGCCA
rnacentral:tRNA from 1 species